AUGAAGCCUGCAUUGGUGUGUGUGCUGAUGGCUGCCUGGACCCUCGGAUGUGGCAGCCAGACGGUGCACCAGCCAGCAGAGAAUGUGUACGCCAUGAAAGGCGACUCAGUUAAGCUGGACUGCAGCUAUGAAGAUUCUGGAGGCAAUGACUACAUCUUCUGGUACAAACAGGACGGGCAGGCGGCACCAAAGUUCAUCCUGAGGCUCUCCAUAAUGAGUCAGGGCAAGACUGAGAGCAGCUUUGAAAAGAGGUUGAGCUGCAGCAUCAAUGACACCGCCAAGCGAGCUCCUCUGAAGAUCGAAGAUGUGCAGCUGAGCGACUCUGCAGUCUUCUACUGCGCCAUCCAGCCCACAAUGACUGACAUCUCUGCUGCACCUGCACAGAAACCUCUGACAUCACAGGGGUGGCAAACUGGAGAUAUUUUUUUUGCUUCUCCACGCACUCCAGUCCAAGGGAGCAGAGUCGAAGUAUGCAGGAGUUUGCAGUGA